UCAUCAGUAUCUCUCCCCGCCAGCUCCCAGCAUGGGGCCUUCCACAGGGGGUUGACCUGGCCUCUGUGACCUCUGUGGAGGAGAAGAGAACCCUCAUUCCAGACCACAGACACCAGCACCAGCUGACAGCUGAUCCUCUGGGAGGCGUGAAGAUGGAGUUGGCAGCUGAGGAGCUGUGAGGGUGCCGAGCCAGGCGCCGGGUGGAGCUGCUCCACAUUCAGGAUGGGAGAUGGCGGCUUCCAGGAAGGCAGAGGAGCCUCUCAGAGGGCAGGAAGAGGAAGAGGAGGCAGAGCUUCCGGGCAGAACUGUGGGGUCAGGGUGUCAGUUAUCCCCAGGAGGGGACCAAGGUCUUCAGGGAG
rnacentral:lncRNA from 10 species